CGGAAUAUUGAAUAACUGGAGGAAGCACUACGGCAAAAUACUCCUCUUUCGAAUUCUACUACUUUUCCAGACAGCUUGGUACAUAUUUGCACAUGUGCUGCGAUAGAGAGCCACCGAUCAGGAGAGAAGUCAACAAAUAAACUAUUCACUAAAUGCCCAUAAACUUAUAAACAAGGAAGAGAGCCCAAGCUAGAAACUAAUAAGCUACACGGAAAGAAAAUGGUUAUCAAUACAGAAAAAUGUUAAUAAUUUUGUUUUAUCUGGAUAUCCGCUGAUCCUAUUAGUACGCAGAUAAUCCUCUUCGUCGUCUCCGUCGGCAUCCUCCACAACGCUGUAAGAACUCUUGCCAGCACCAUCCUUGGCCAGAUGCGUUUCAAAGAACUCCUCCACGGUGUCCGUGUUCCACUUGG